AAAGGGUGCGUAGGCGGAUUGUUAAGUCAGGGGUGAAAUCCCGAGGCUCAACCUCGGAACUGCCUUUGAUACUGGCGAUCUUGAGUCUGGGAGAGGUGAGUGGAACUGCGAGUGUAGAGGUGAAAUUCGUAGAUAUUCGCAAGAACACCGGUGGCGAAGGCGGCUCACUGGCCCGGUACUGACGCUGAGGCACGAAAGCGUGGGGAGCAAACAGGAUUAGAUACCCUAGU
rnacentral:rRNA from 1 species